AUACGUGCCAGCAGCCGCGGUAAUACGUAUGGUGCAAGCGUUAUCCGGAUUUACUGGGUGUAAAGGGAGCGUAGACGGAGAAGCAAGUCUGGAGUGAAAGCCCGGGGCUCAACCCCGGGACUGCUUUGGAAACUGUUACUCUUGAGUGCCGGAGAGGUAAGCGGAAUUCCUAGUGUAGCGGUGAAAUGCGUAGAUAUUAGGAAGAACACCAGUGGCGAAGGCGGCUUUCUGGACUGAAACUGACGCUGAGGCUCGAAAGCGUGGGGAGCG
rnacentral:rRNA from 1 species